GGCCUGUGAUGCAUGAAUAAUUUGUCCGUACCAUCUGAGACUUCUCUGAUGUAUACUCCAAUUCUUGAAUCUGAGGCCU